rnacentral:lncRNA from 1 species
CAAGUGCCAGUGACUUCACUCUUGGGCAAUAUCAAAUGGCCCGGAACCAAAAGCAUUUGCUUAUUCUGCCAGCGGAUCAUGCCAACUCUACCUGGAAUCUAUGGUUGUUCUGAUAAAGAGGACUUAGACCAGCUGGGCACCAUUGAAUGUCUAAGGACUCAACAAAAUCUCCAACACUGGCUGCUGUGGCUACUCAGCAGAAGUUGAAAAGCUGCUGCUGACUAGGCUGAAAGCUUCAGGUCAGUCAAUGAGCAGUGUUUGGGAAGCCUUAGCACAACUUGGCAAAAGUGUGACCAGCUGCGGCUGCCCUGAGAUGAGCCGGACCUCAGCUUGAGAGCUGAAGCAGUUGCUGAAGGAGUUAACAGUUGGAGGCUGUCAGCCAGGCACACUCCUCGAAGCUGGCCAGUGAUUCCUUCUUUGAACAAGAAUGAGUGAUGUAUCUCCAUUUCUGCCUCACGGGAAUAAGGAGAUCUUGAGCUUCUACAAAAACGUGUAACAGAAAACCAACAACCAAUUCCACAGGGAUAUUGAGGAUAUGCAGUGGUUUUUCAACACACCCUGAAGAAAUGAUAACGUGCAAAUGAAGGUAUUCGGGAUUAGGUGAGGUAGCAACUUGAUCCACUGAACACUCACCUGGAAACUUGUCUUGGAAUUCUUUUCUGAUGAAGAUUAAAUUUCUUGGCUGAAGUUGAAACAAAGGGUAGAACUGGGGCCACGUUAAGACUUGUCUAUAAGGUAUGUGGCAUGUGCUAUACUUCAUUUCCUGCCCAAAUGAGAUGUGCUUUAGUGAAGCUCAUAAAUGAAG